rnacentral:tRNA from 1 species
GGUGGGUAUAGCUCAGUGGUAGAGUGUGUGCUUAGCAUGCACGAGGUCCUGGGUUCAAUCCCCAGUAUCUCCA